rnacentral:rRNA from 1 species
GAUGAACGCUGGCGGCGUGCUUAACACAUGCAAGUCGAACGGAAAGGCUCCUGCUUGCAGGGGUACUCGAGUGGCGAACGGGUGAGUAACACGUGGGUGAUCUGCCCUGCACUUCGGGAUAAGCCUGGGAAACUGGGUCUAAUACCGGAUAGGACGAUGGUUUGGAUGCCAUUGUGGAAAGUUUUUUCGGUGUGGGAUGAGCUCGCGGCCUAUCAGCUUGUUGGUGGGGUAAUGGCCUACCAAGGCGUCGACGGGUAGCCGGCCUGAGAGGGUGUACGGCCACAUUGGGACUGAGAUACGGCCCAGACUCCUACGGGAGGCAGCAGUGGGGAAUAUUGCACAAUGGGCGCAAGCCUGAUGCAGCGACGCCGCGUGGGGGAUGACGGCCUUCGGGUUGUAAGCUCCUUUCGCUAGGGACGAAGCGCAAGUGACGGUACCUGGAGAAGAAGCACCGGCUAACUACGUG